AAGAAAAAAAGCAAUAACCAAAAAAGCUAAGACAAUGGUCCUUGAAAAUGGAAAAAAAUAAAAAAGGAAAGAAGAAAGACCAUUCCAAAUGGUGACCCCCCCACCCCCCAUACUCACAAAAGGAGCUAUAAUCACUGUCUUUUUUUUUUUACAUCAACGUCAUAUAAAAAACUGAUAACUUGAAAUGUGAAGUCUCAUUUUUAGGUGAUAUACAAUUGUAUUUUAGUAUAUGGUUUUGCUGCAUAAAAGCCUUGGAAACAUAUUUUAAAACUGAUAACGUAAUUUAACUCAAACUGCUUCAAAUAGAAUAACAUUUAAUAAAUAAGAAGAGCAUUUGUAUGCAUAUACUGUGAACCUACAGAAGAAAACUUGAUCCCACAAAGAUAUAUGCACUAAAGAAAUGUAACAGAAGAAUACAUUAAGAAAAGUGAAUGUACUUCUGAAGGCUGCCAGUUUGAAGGCAGAAAUGUUGGAGACUGAAAUGUUGGAGACUGAAGAUUUGUGUUUUUCCACAUAUCAGUUCUGCAAAUGAAUUUUGCUAAUCUGAAACACCAAGAAUGGUUGCCUUGUUUUUUCCAGAAAACUUUUCCCAACUUCUAAGGAAAAAGGUAAAUUUUUUCUUUCUUUAAGAUAGUCUUUUGUUAGAUGUUGGAUGAUGAAGGACUUAAGACAGAAAAAUGCAAAGCUGUAACUCACUGAAAACGUUGAGUUAAAAGAAAAUGAUGGGAAAACUAUCUAAGUUGUGGGGUAACAGGAAGAGAAAGUCAAAGAAAUUGUAACUUGUCUUUGUCUCAAAAGCCAUGUACAAAAGACCUCCAGUGAGAAUUUCUUUUAAAUAACUCUUAAAGCCAGGGUUAUAGAAAUUGAGUCAUGGGGGGGCGGGAGGUAUAAUUAACAAGUGAAAACUUGGUUUAAAGAAACAGGGAGGAAAUAUAGUUUAUGUUGAAGAAUGACAUUUUGAAAUCUUUUCAGUAUUUAAACAUUUUAAACUUUAACAUCUUUCUCCUCUAAGAUCUUAUAUGUACAGCAUGAGCAACAUCAGAAGAAGCCUCCUUGUACAGAUCUGCCAAUCUUAACCCUGUUGUGAAGGACCCACUCCUAGAGAUGAAGUGGUAGCUUAAUCUUCAUAGAUUGGCCUUUCGCAUCUUUGCUCUGAUAGAAAAACAGUAAUGCUCCUCUAGUCAGUUGUGAUGUUGGUUUUGUAACAUGGAUAUUGGUCCACUAGGCAAAGCACAUCAAAACGCCAUCAGAUACAAAGAACUUUCCACCUCCAUUGAUAUGGCCCUGAUGUGAAUCAGUGACCUGGAAAUGAAAUGUGUCACAGUUUAUUACCAGUUCCCUGAACCUUCUAAUCCCACUAAGGAUCUAAUAAAAAUUAUUCCAAAACCUGUUGUUAAUUUGCUUUUUUCUUUAUAAUUAGCUCACUUGAUACCAUUGACUGGGAUUUUUGGAUUUUCUCCUGCUUCGGCCACAAAGUGAUCACAGGAACUGGCAUAAGUUUCCAUCAGUACACCUCAUUUGCUGUAUUACAGAAUUGUCCAGGUGCAUUGAUUUUUUUUCACCUUCCACCAUCAGCUACUGGCCACUGGAGAAGAUGAGUCAGGAUUUCAUUUUUCCAGUGGGCUUGUAAUGCUGAGAGCCUAUAGAUGUCUUUGGAACUGCAUAUUACCUGAUCCUGUAUUACUUUGUUACUGACGUGGUCAUAUGUUCCCGACUUCCUCCAUACUCCAGUAGAGUAAUUCAGCUUUUUGCCUUUCUCCGACCAAGGUUGUACAAGAUUACAUCCUGCAAUGUUAGCUGCACAGGUGUAUGAACAGUAUAUUACCCUUUCCUAUCAGCAGGUGGAGAGACAUAAAAUUGAGAAAGUCAUUCUUCAGACAUGAUUUCUCUUUUAAGAAGAAAGUAUCUAUUGCAGCAAUUUCCCUCAUACUUCAGCCUUUUUGCGACAUAUAUUGGAAAAAUGUUUCUCAUGAAGUCACUAAAAAUACUUACUUCAUUUAUUCAAUACAUUUUACAAA